rnacentral:rRNA from 1 species
UACGUAGGUGGCAGGCGUUGUCCGGAUUUACUGGGCGUAAAGGAUGUGUAGGCGGAUACUUAAGUGAGAUGUGAAAGCCCCGGGCUCAACCUGGGGACUGCAUUUCAAACUGGGUAUCUAGAGUGCAGGAGAGGAAAGCGGAAUUCCUAGUGUAGCGGUGAAAUGCGUAGAGAUUAGGAAGAACAUCAGUGGCGAAGGCGGCUUUCUGGACUGU